GGGGUGCAGCAGGCGCGAAACCUAUGCAAUAGGCGAAAGCUUGACAGGGUUACUGAGAGUGAUUUCCGUUAAGGAGAUCUUUUGGCACCUCUAAAAAUGGUGCAGAAUAAGGGGUGGGCAAGUCCGGUGUCAGCCGCCGCGGUAAUACCAGCACCCCGAGUGGUCGGGAUGUUUAUUGGUCCUAAAGCAUCCGUAGCCGGUUGUACGAUUCUUCCGUUAAUUCCAACUGCUUAACAGGUGGGCUGCGGAAGAUACUAUAGAGCUAGGAGGCGGGAGAGGCAAGCGGUACUUGAUGGGUAGGGGUAAAAUCCGUUGAUCCAUUGAAGACCACCAGUGGGGAAGGCGUGCUUGCCAGAACGCGCUCGACGGUGAGGGAUGAAAGCUGGGGGAGCAAACCGGAUUAGAUACCCGGGUAGUCCCAGCCGUAAACGAUGCACACUUGGUGUUGAGUUGGUUAUAUUCCAUGUCAGUGCCGCAGGGAAGCCGUUAAGUUUGCCACCUGGGGAGUACGGUCUCAAGCCUGAAACUUAAAGGAAUCGGCGGGGGAGCAC
rnacentral:rRNA from 1 species